rnacentral:rRNA from 1 species
UACGGGGGGGGCAAGCGUUGUUCGGAAUUACUGGGCGUAAAGGGCUCGUAGGCGGCCAACUAAGUCAGACGUGAAAUCCCUCGGCUUAACCGGGGGAACUGCGUCUGAUACUGGAUGGCUUGAAUCCGGGAGAGGGAUGCGGAAUUCCAGGUGUAGCGGUGAAAUGCGUAGAUAUCUGGAGGAACACCGGUGGCGAAGGCGAACAUCCUGGACCGGUAUUGACGCUGAGUGAGCGAAAGCCAGGGGAGCAAACGGG